rnacentral:rRNA from 1 species
UACGGAGGGUGCGAGCGUUGUCCGGAAUCACUGGGCGUAAAGGGCGCGUAGGCGGCCUGAUAAGUAGGGGGUGAAAUCUUGCGGCUUAACCGCAAGGCUGCCUUCUAAACUGUCAGGCUAGAGCACAGUAGAGGCAGGUGGAAUUCCCGGUGUAGCGGUGGAAUGCGUAGAGAUCGGGAAGAACAUCAGUGGCGAAGGCGGCCUGCUGGGCUGUUGCUGACGCUGAGGCGCGACAGCGUGGGGAGCAAACAGG